rnacentral:rRNA from 1 species
GNCAUUACAGAAACUGCGAAUGGCUCAUUAUAUAAGUUAUCGUUUAUUUGAUAGUACCUUACUACAUGGAUAACCGUGGUAAUUCUAGAGCUAAUACAUGCUGAAAAUCCCGACUUCGGAAGGGAUGUAUUUAUUAGAUUCAAAACCAAUGCCCUUCGGGGCUCCAAUGGUGAUUCAUGAUAACUUCUCGAAUCGCACGGCCCCGCGCCGGCGAUGGUUCAUUCAAAUUUCUUCCCUAUCAACUUUCGAUGCUACGGUAGUGUCCUAGCAUGGUUGCAACGGGUAACGGGGANUNANNGUGUAGGNCUANACCGGGGCGNCCGGGGGNAGGGGNAUAA